rnacentral:rRNA from 1 species
UACGUAGGGCGCAAGCGUUAUCCGGAAUCACUGGGCGUAAAGCGCACGUAGGCGGAUUGCUAAGUCAGGGGUGAAAUCCUGGAGCUCAACUCCAGAACUGCCUUUGAUACUGGCGACCUUGAGUCCGGGAGAGGUGAGUGGAACUGCGAGUGUAGAGGUGAAAUUCGUAGAUAUUCGCAAGAACACCAGUGGCGAAGGCGGCUCACUGGCCCGGUACUGACGCUGAGGUGCGAAAGCGUGGGGAGCAAACAGG